GUCUAUGGCCAUACCACCCUGAACACGCCCGAUCUCAUCUGAUCUCAGAAGCUAAGCAGGGUCGGACCUGGUUAGUACUUGGAUGGGAGAAGAUAGGAGUUGGAGGUGCCAUGUAAA
ensembl:rRNA 5S_rRNA 5S ribosomal RNA